rnacentral:rRNA from 1 species
GAGUUUGAUCGUGGCUCAGGAUGAACGCUGGCGGCGUGCUUAACACAUGCAAGUCGAACGGGGCCACCAUUUUUGAAGCGAUUAGCUUGCUAAGAGUGGAAAUGUUGGCGGCUUAGUGGCGGACGGGUGAGUAACGCGUGGGUAACCUGCCAUAUACAGGGGGAUAACACUUAGAAAUAGGUGCUAAUACCGCAUAAGCGCACGGAGCUGCAUGGCUCAGUGUGAAAAACUCCGGUGGUAUAUGAUGGACCCGCGUCUGAUUAGCUUGUUGGCGGGGUAACGGCCCACCAAGGCGACGAUCAGUAGCCGACCUGAGAGGGUGGCCGGCCACAUUGGGACUGAGACACGGCCCAAACUCCUACGGGAGGCAGCAGUGGGGAAUAUUGCACAAUGGGGGAAACCCUGAUGCAGCAACGCCGCGUGAGUGAAGAAGUAUUUCGGUAUGUAAAGCUCUAUCAGCAGGGAAGAAAAAGACGGUACCUGACUAAGAAGCCCCGGCUAACUACGUGCCAGCCGCCG